GGCCAGCUCAGUUGGUUAAAGCAUGGUGCUAAUAAGACCAAGGUCAUGGGUUCAAUCCCUGUGUGGGCCA
rnacentral:tRNA from 1 species